ensembl:snRNA U6 U6 spliceosomal RNA
GUGCUCGCUUCAGCAGCACAUAUACUAAAAUUGAAACGAUACAGAAAAGAUUAGCAUGGCCCCUGUGUGAGGAUGACUCGAAAUUCGUGAAGCAUUCCAUAUUUUA